rnacentral:tRNA from 1 species
ACCUCCAUAGUUUAACAAGAAAAAACACAAGUCUCAUGAACUUUAAUCGUAGAUCAAAACCUCUACUAGAGGUU